rnacentral:rRNA from 1 species
UACGGAGGGGGCUAGCGUUGUUCGGAAUUACUGGGCGUAAAGCGCACGUAGGCGGCUUUGUAAGUUAGAGGUGAAAGCCCAGGGCUUAACCCUGGAAUUGCCUUUAAGACUGCAUCGCUAGAAUCGUGGAGAGGUGAGUGGAAUUCCGAGUGUAGAGGUGAAAUUCGUAGAUAUUCGGAAGAAACACCAGUGGCGAAGGCGACUCACUGGACACGUAUUGACGCUGAGGUGCGAAAGCGUGGGGAGCAAACAGG